rnacentral:rRNA from 1 species
UACGUAGGUGGCAAGCGUUAUCCGGAAUUAUUGGGCGUAAAGAGCUCGUAGGCGGUUUGUCGCGUCUGCUGUGAAAACCCGAGGCUCAACCUCGGGCCUGCAGUGGGUACGGGCAGACUAGAGUGCGGUAGGGGAGAUUGGAAUUCCUGGUGUAGCGGUGGAAUGCGCAGAUAUCAGGAGGAACACCGAUGGCGAAGGCAGAUCUCUGGGCCGUAACUGACGCUGAGGAGCGAAAGCAUGGGGAGCAAACGGG